GACGAACGCUGGCGGCGUGCUUAACACAUGCAAGUCGAACGGUGAAGCUCCAGCUUCCUGGAGUGGAUCAGUGGCGAACGGGUGAGUAACACGUGAGCAACCUGCCCCUGACUCUGGAAUAAGCGCUGGAAACGGCGUCUAAUACUGGAUACGAGAAGGGUCCGCAUGGGCACUUUCUGGAAAGUUUUUCGGUUGGGGAUGGGCUCGCGGCCUAUCAGCUUGUUGGUGAGGUAAUGGCUCACCAAGGCGACGACGGGUAGCCGGCCUGAGAGGGCGACCGGCCACACUGGGACUGAGACACGGCCCAGACUCCUACGGGAGGCAGCAGUGGGGAAUAUUGCACAAUGGGCGAAAGCCUGAUGCAGCGACGCCGCGUGAGGGAUGACGGCCUUCGGGUUGUAAACCUCUUUCAGCAGGGAAGAAGCGAAAGUGACGGUACCUGCAGAAGAAGCACCGGCUAACUACGUG
rnacentral:rRNA from 1 species